AGUGCAGCUGACCUUGGGCUGGACACCGGUCUGUGUGUGGUCCAAGGAUCCGGGAAUGGAGGGUAAGCCUCUUGUACAGCACCUGGGUCGUUGGGCUUGCAGUUUCUAUUUCUCUCUCUCUCUUUAUUUAUUUUUUUAAAGUAAUUCAUCUUCAUUGUGUUUUACAAAAGGAUUAGUUCAAGAUGGAUUGAGGACCAAAAUAACAAUAACAACAAUAAUUUCUUGGCUGGAAGCAUUUGCCUCCUAGAGUUACAGCUCAUUCAGCCACAUGACUGUCAGGGCUGCCUGCCUGCUCCAAUUCCCUCCCACUUCCUCCCGUCAGAGGCCCCGAGAUGGUCUUAGAGACCUCAGGAACCCAUUUUAUUCUCCAGCCCUGAUAGGAAGAUGACUCUCCUUCUGGGCGUUAGCCUUUUGCUUUUCUACCGAGGCGUGCUGUGUGACCAAGUGACCCAGAGCCCCCCGUACCAGACAGUGGCAAGCGGCAGUAAGGUGACACUGUUCUGCACUUACCACACAACAUACUCAAACCCGGAUUUAUACUGGUACCGAAUAAGGCCAGAUCGUUCCUUUCAGUUUAUCCUCUACAGGGAUAACACUCGAUCCAAAGAUGCAGAUUUUACUCAGGGUCGUUUUUGGGUGUGGCACAGUCAGUCCCAGAAGACCUUCCACUUGGUGAUCUCGGUGGAGCCUGAGGACAGUGCCACAUACUACUGCGCCAUCUAUCCCCACAGUGUCGCAGGUGCCCAGGAGGUCUGAACAUAAACCCCCAGCACAGCCUGGUGUAGCUCCCUUGGAUCCUUCUUCCCAGCUAUUUUGUGUUCCAGCCUGGCCUUUGGAGGUGCCCUGACAUGUCUGCUGAAUAAUACAGGGCAGCUCACAUCCAGGAGAGCACCCUGGCUUCAGAUGGAGCAGAGCACCUCCCUACCUUCUGAAUCAGUGGGCUGUUGCGGUGGGAGAGUGGGAGAGGUAUGUCUGGGGAAUUCUCAUCUUCGUGUCCCCAGUGCCCUGGUCACUCACGCCUGAUACGGGGGCCUGUUGCGUAUGUACUCUGAGGACUAUGAAGAUACCAGAAUGGCCAAGGUACCAUUCGGGAGUGUUUUUAUUUUAGUCUCCAUCAUUUAUCCAUUAUUGUGAAUUGGUCUGUUUUCCUUUUAAGAUUCAAAGUAGACACAAAGUUACUUACUUCAAAAUUUUCCCCCCAGUUCACCUUUUCCCUGCUUCUUCUUGCACAGCCACCUUAUUUUUCUUGAAUGCUCUUUGACACUGCCAUUUCACUUACUUUAUUUGGAGAACAUUUUUCUUCCACAGAGGAGCAUUGAGAUACUCCGAAAAAGCUGUUGGUGAUCCCUAGAACCCCAGCAUCAAGUCCCUGCGUUUGGAGCUCUUUGGUGUCUCCAAGGAAGAUGAUCAUCUCCAGGAGAAUCCAACUGUGUGAUGUCAAAAUAGAUACACCCUGAGCCCUGGGAA